GAGCGGCGAACGGGUGAGUAACACGUGAGUAACCUGCCCCUGACUCUGGGAUAAGCCCGGGAAACUGGGUCUAAUACCGGAUACGACACCUCCCGGCAUCGGGUGGGUGUGGAAAGUUUUUUCGGUUGGGGAUGGACUCGCGGCCUAUCAGCUUGUUGGUGGGGUAACGGCCUACCAAGGCGACGACGGGUAGCCGGCCUGAGAGGGCGACCGGCCACACUGGGACUGAGACACGGCCCAGACUCCUACGGGAGGCAGCAGUGGGGAAUAUUGCGCAAUGGGCGAAAGCCUGACGCAGCGACGCCGCGUGGGGGAUGACGGCCUUCGGGUUGUAAACCUCUUUCAGCAGGGACGAAGUUGACGUGUACCUGCAGAAGAAGCGCCGGCUAACUACGUGCCAGCAGCCGCGGUAAUACGUAGGGCGCAAGCGUUGUCCGGAAUUAUUGGGCGUAAAGAGCUCGUAGGUGGCUUGUCACGUCGGGUGUGAAAGCUUGGGGCUUAACUCCAGGUCUGCAUUCGAUACGGGCCUGGCUANAAGGUAGGUAGGGGNAGAACGGAAUUCCU
rnacentral:rRNA from 1 species